GACGAGCCUCACAAACGUUAUUCGGAAUUACUGGGCUUAAAGGGUGCGUAGGCGGCGCGGAAAGUUGGGUGUGAAAUCCCUCGGCUCAACCGAGGAAUUGCGCUCAAAACUACCGUGCUCGAGGGGAGAUAGAGGAAUGCGGAACUUACGGUGGAGCGGUGAAAUGCGUUGAUAUCGUAGGGAACACCGGUGGCGAAAGCGGCAUUCUGGAUCUCUUCUGACGCGUGAUGGCACGAAAGCUAGGGUAGCAAACGGG
rnacentral:rRNA from 1 species